rnacentral:rRNA from 1 species
UACGUAGGUGGCAAGCGAUACUCGGAAUCACUAGGCGUAAAGCGCGGGUAGGAGGUUUAGUAAGUCUGUUGUGAAAGCUCCCGGCUUAACUGGGAGAGGUCAACGGAAACUGCUAGGCUAGAGUGCGGUAGAGGUAGCUGGAAUUCCCGGUGUAGCGGUGAAAUGCGUAGAUAUCGGGAGGAAUACCUAUGGCGAAAGCAGGCUACUGGACCGUCACUGACUCUGAUCUGCGAAAGCUAGGGGAGCAAACAGG